UUUCAAGAUUUUAAUUCAUCUUUCUCCAUUACAUCAAGGUCACUGCCAAGGUAUGCUGAUCUGCUGUCCGACUGCAAGUGUUCCUCCAACUGCACCUAUCUGAAGUAGAGCUGUACCAGUGACCUAGCCUGAUUGCCAUCGACUUGAAAGGCUCUGCGAGACUUCAGUCUGACCAAGAGCCUGUGCUAACACGGUUUCUCCCAGCGCUGGUUGACCCGCCUCAUUUAAGUGCCUCGAUUUGCUACUGGUCGAUGUCAGAAAGCGGUUUGCCGAGUUUAAACCAAUAACAACACUCUUUCCUCUGCCUUGAACAUGCCUCUACCCAGAGCCGUUGGAGCUGCUCAAAGUUGAUUGGUUCUCGACCAAAGGGGGCAGUUCCGCAGAUUUCGGGAAUUCAGAAAUCCUUCCCGAUUAGCAGUUGACCAGACCAGCGACAGCAACGCCGAAGGUGUUACGUCACUGGGAGGGCGUGCCAGGCUACCAGUGACCACAAGUUAAAGAUUUUUGCCCACCGACAUCAAGAAGUAGUCUGAGAUGCACCCAUGAUGGCUGAAUUAAGACGAGGUGGCCAGCAUUUUCAAUGUGCGUGAGCUGUGUGCGGAAUUCAAGGGAUCACCGG